rnacentral:lncRNA from 1 species
CCUGGAUGUUUUAAGUUUUACUGGAUGUUUAAAACCAAAACUUGGAAACAAAAGAAAGUAAAAGGGCUAAAGAAAAAAAUGGCCCAUAUUUUGGCCCUUGCCCUUUAAGAUUAGCCAAAAUUCAGGGAAUGACAGGACUUCUCUAAGGACCCUGCAACUCCAGUAAGUCACCUGGCCUCCCAGGAAAGGAGUCAAGGAAUGCACAUUUUACAAAGAGGAUUACUGAAGAGUGAAAUGUCUCUGAUGGUUCCAAGGGAAGCCAAAUGUGGUCAGCAAGACCCUGACCAAUCUGGUAGAUGGCACAUAUAGUAGGAAAAAACUAAAGGAGUCAAAAGGCUUCUCAUAAGUUCCCAAAAGUAAUCCCUAAGGAAUCUCAGCUGACUAUUAACAGUAGAUAGGUACAAGGUGAAUGUUUUACCAACUUAAUCUUAAACACCCAGUAGGAGAGUAUAACCAAAACAUAGUCAUACAUGGACAUUUUAAAGAAAAGACAACUGUUCUUUUAAUGUAACUUGAGAUAUACAUUUGUGUCAGUCCCCCCCAAAAUAAUUAAAAGUGGGAGGCUGUAAAUAAAGGGUUUGGGGCCUGAGGAUGUGGUUCAUUUGCAGCUGAAUGAUGACAUUCUCUUAAAAAUUUGUGUGCUUGCCUAGUGUAAAAAUGUAGUGUGCUUGCCUAGCAUGUGUGAUGCACUGGGUUCAAUCCUCAGCACCACAUUAAAAACAUAAACAAAAUAAAGGUAUUG